rfam:Picea glauca, whole genome shotgun sequence.
CGACCCCAGCUCAGGCGAGAACACCCGCUGAGUUUAAGCAUAUAAUUAAGCGAAGGAAAAGAAACUUACAAGGAUUUCCCUAGUAACAGCGAGUGAACCGGGAAGAGCCCAGCAUGAAAAUUGGGUGGCAGUGUCGCCUGAAUUGUAGUCUGUAGAAGCUUCCUUAGCGGCAGACCGAGCCCAAGUCCCCUAGAAGGGGGUGCCUGAGAGGGUGACAACCCCGUCGAGCUGGGACCCUGCUGCACCAUGAGGCAUUGUCGGCGAGUCGGGUUGUUUGGGAAUGCAUCCCUAAUCGGGUGGUAAAUUCUGUCCAAGGCUAAAUACGGGCGAGAGACCGAUAGCGAACAAGUACCAUGAGGGAAAAAUGAAAAGGACUUUGAAAAGAGAGUUAAAGAGUGCUUGAAAUUACCGGGAGGGAAGCGGAUGGAGGCCGACGAUGCGUCUCGGUUGGAUGCGGAACGGCUCAAGCUGGUCCAUUGCUCGACUCGAGGUGUGAACCAGCACAUGUCGUUGCAUCGGCACAAGCGCGGGUGGAGUAUUGCAUGUUGGUUUUCCAUUGUGGCGAUCGAGGAACGAAGCGUGCGCCCUUGGUGCGGGCCACUGUGCACCUGCACGCUCGUGGUGUUGGUUGGCGAGCUUUCCAUUCGACCCAUCUUGAAACAUGGACCAAGGAGUCUAACAUGUGUGCGAGUUGGUGGGUUUGUAAACUUGGGAGGCGUAAGGAAGCUGACGGGCGAGAACCCCUCUCCAUGGGUUGCAUUGCCGAUCGACCUUGAUCUUGUGUGAAGGGUUCGAGUGCGAUCACACCUGUUGGGACCCAAAAUAUGGUGAACUAUGCCUUAGCAGGGUGAAGCCAAAGGAAACUCUGGUGGAGGCCCGUAGCGAUACUGACGUGCAAAUCGUUCUUCUGACUUGGGUAUAGGGGCGAAAGACUAAUCGAACCAUCUAGUAGAUGGUUUCCUUUGAAGUUUCCCUCAGGAUAGUUGGAGCUCACGUGCGAGUUUUAUCAGGUAAAGAAAAUGAGUAGAGGCAUUGGGGGCAUAACGCCCUCGACCUAUUCUCAAACUUUAAAUAGGUAAGAUGGUGUGAAUGCUCCAUUGAGCCAUGCCAUGGCAUCAAGAGCUCCAAGUGGGCCAUUUUUGGUAAGCAGAACUGACGAUGUGGGCUGAACCGAAAGUCGAGUUACGGUGCCAAACUGCGCGUUAACCCAGAUCCCACAAAGGGUGUUGGUUGAUUAAGACAGUAGGACGGUGGUCAUGGAAGUCGAAAUCCGCUAAGGAGUGUGUAACAACUCACCUGCCGAAUCAACUAGCCCCAAAAAUGGAUGGCGCUGAAGCGCUCGACCUAUACUCGACCGUCGGAGCAAUUGCCAUGCUUCGAUGAGUAGGAGGACGUGAGGGUCAUUUAGAAACCUUGGGCGUGAGACUGGGUGGACUAGUCCCCGCUGCAGAUCUUGGUGGUAGUAGCAAAUAUUCAACUAAGAACUUUGAAGACUGAAGUGGGGAAAGGUUCCAUGUGAACAACACUUGGACAUGGGUUAGUCGAUCCUAAGAGAUGGGGAAGCCCUGUAUCAAGGGUGCACUAUGCA